rnacentral:tRNA from 1 species
CAUUAAGUGGCUGAAAGCAAGCAAUGAUCUCUUAAAUCAUAAUAUAAUAUAUUGGCAAAUAUUCUUAAUGA